AGAGGGGGCAAGCGUUGCUCGGAAUUACUGGGCGUAAAGGGCGCGUAGGCGGGAUGGUAAGUCGGUCGUGAAAUCCCUCGGCUCAACCGAGGAACGUCGAUCGAUACUACCGUUCUUGAGGGUUGCAGAGGAGACUGGAAUUCCCGGUGUAGCGGUGAAAUGUGUAGAGAUCGGGAGGAACACCGGUGGCGAAGGCGGGUCUCUGGGCAAUUCCUGACGCUGAGGCGCGAAAGCGUGGGGAGCAAACGGGAUUAGAUACCCCGGUAGUCCACGCUGUAAACGAUGAGCACUAGGUGUGGGGGGGUUCAGUCCCUUCCGUGCCGCAGCUAACGCAUUAAGUGCUCCGCCUGGGGAGUACGGCCGCAAGGUUG
rnacentral:rRNA from 1 species